rnacentral:lncRNA from 1 species
CAAACCCUCUAAUUCAGUCCUCUUCUUGACUCCUUUAUUCACACAAUUAUUUUAUUUUUCUCAUUUUUCUGUAUUAUUUUUUUUUCUUUUCCUUUCUCUUUUUUCAGAACACAACUCUAAGAGACAAGGUACACAACAUAUUUACAAAACAAAACAAGAAAAGGAGCCAACUAACCAAUUCAUCUGAAUAUCCCAAGAGACCACACUUAUUCCCA